GCCUAAUAUAAAUGUAUAGGCCUCUUACCUGUUUGUUCAGGGCUGUGGUUUGUUCGUCCUCCCAGAUUUCAGUUGGUAUGCUGGGUGUCUCAGCAGGUGAGGAUUGUGUGGUUAGGAUUGGAAGGUCGCGGAUUCAAUUCUUGUAGAGUGACUUCACUGCUAAGCUCAACUGUAUGAUAUUU